CAAAUCUCCCCCAUAUCCAUCACGUUGCGCGUCUAGCGCGAGACUGAUACGUAAACUCGCAUUUCGAUAGUCUCGAUUCUCGAUUGUGAAGGACACCGCUGCGCGGGCAGCUUGUGGUCACGUGGUCAAGCGAGGUACCGUCAAGUGGCGCCAUCACUACGCAAAGUCGCAGAGUUUCGGGAUCGGUAGUGGGGAUCAAUCUUCCGCGAGAUGCGCAGCGCAGUGGAUUUGUAGGACGUGCGAGAGAGAAGGACGUUGGGUCCUGUGGUCACGUGGUCAGGCGAGGUGCUGUCAAGUGGCGCCGCGACACGCCACUACGCAAAGCUUCGGUCAGUAGUAAAGCUGUAAGGCUCAUCAGACAUCAGUCUACCGCAGAAGUGUAAUGGAUAUGUCAAGAUGCGUGAGUUCAAUGGAAGCACAGGUAAUAUUGCGAUACACAGUGUGAUUUAUAAGUCGUGUCGGUAGCGCCGUGUAAAGUUUUACGUGCCGCGUAAAGUUUCGCGAGUCGGAAGUGCCGCGUAAAGUGUCGGGCGAUCGUAAUUAUUCGUGUUUUCGUGAGUUUUCGUGAGUGCUACGAAGGAGGCCCGGGGAGGCAUCGAGUGACAGCGAGGUAACUAUGAGGUAUUCGAUGUACGCGAAAUAUACGUGCUAUUUACGUAUCGCGUCGGGAGUGUCGUGUAAAGUAUUGCGCGUCGGGAGUGUCGUGUAAAGUGUCGGGCGAUCGUAAUUAUUCGUGUUUUCGCGAGUGCCGCGAGUGCUACGAAGGACCAAGAGAGAAGGAAGCCCGAGAAGGCACCGGGCGAUAGCGGGACAACUGUAAGAUCAAUGCGUUGUGUACUACAACUCUGCUGUUGCACGUAUCGAAUUUCACGAACUGGAUGGAAACGCAUCUAAUCCGGAGUUAAAAGAGGUCUGCCGUCGAUCGGCAUCGCGAGACUCAACGCUGCGAGCACGAUGUGGGUGUGACCUGGUUUGCGAGAGUUUCACUUUCCUGUAACAUCGUUGCACGGAGGAGUGCAUCUCAUCAUUAUCUAGCGAAUUGAAAAAUCACCCAAGCACCAACACUGACUGAAACGGCUGCCUAUUCUAUUCUGAUUUUCGCGAAGUGGAGCGAAGCUGCGUAAAUGUACGUGUUAGAGUCGCGCAGGUAAGUAGCACACGGCGUUGUUAUCUAACAAACCGCGAGCGCAGAAGAAGCGGGCGCUUCGCGCGAUGAAAGGGAAAUUCUGCCUUUUGCCCCGCUUAGCGAUCCGCGGAGAUCACGAUGCGGUUCCGGUCGUUGAUCCUAAGUACUCUCCCGCCGCGCCGAGCGGAUCAGCUGCAGUUAACCCUCCCAGGCGCGCACUAUUACUUGUACUACUACUUUUCUCGGCACCACCGCUCACCUUCACCUCGUCUCUUACUCAACUCAAUCGCAAGCGGACCCCCGAGUCUCUCUACCCCCGUUGCAUAAUCGCCGUGCACAAUCAUUACCGAGUCGGAUCGUCACUCGAGCGGAAUAAGUGCGCGCUACGGAUCGAAAAGCCGGCGCAUUAAUCGCGUCGCGUCACGUCGCGUCGGCUUUGUCAGGCGCGAAGUUCAGGAUGGCCAAAGCGAACCCGUGACAUUUCGACUAAGGCAAAUUCUCGAACCUUGAUUGAAUCUCGGUUCUUCAUGUUCCUACAAAAUAUAGCGGAAGAAUGCAAAUGCCUUACGUGAAAAACGAUAAUGAGAGCAAUUUCGUGCAUUUAGAAAGCGUAUUUAAGAAGCCUAUAUUUAUUAUCAAACGACAAAGGAAAAUAACACCAUUUUGGAGACACGAUAAGCUUUAAAAAACAUGUAACGUACAUUAACAUGAUGAGCUGCAUUUUAAAACUAAUGUAAUACGAACGAAUUAUUAUAAAACGAAGUUGUUGAAAAUAUUUCACGUGACAAACGCCACAGUUAUCGAUCUGCUCGUUAUCGAUUUGAAAGAAAAAAAAAAAAAAAAAAGAAACAGCUUUUCCUGUUUCUCGCAGUUUUCGAAAAUUACUAAUGCAGCAUAUUUACUCGUGCUUAUGCGGCUCAGGGUUAAGAUCGCAUUGAUACAGCAAAAGCAACGUCGGCAUCGCGCGCUUAUCGGGGCUCGUUUAAGUGCCAGCUGUCAAGGUCUUAUCAUUUUUCCGCGUGCUAGGUAGUGGCUCCUCAGGCUCGCUCGUAUAUCGGCUGCAAAAAAAUAUCAGUGUUUUCACGUUCGACCGUUUCGCAUCUUUAUCGCCGCCGACAUCGCCGUUGACGACGCGAUGGCAGCCUUGCGUCCUUGCAUGAAAUGAUGAACGUUGAACCCUGCGGAUACGCCGGCAUAGCGGCGCAGCCUCUCGACAUCUCGCGAUUUCUCGUGAAUCAUCCGUCGUUCGCACAUAUAUUGUCGUUAUCUAUAAAACCGAUUACUGCAAUGCGCUCGCUCUCGCGUGCAUGCAUGUAUGUGUUUCGGGUCUCGAUGUAAAGAUAACGGAAUAAUGCGCGAAGCCGUUUAAAUAAUGACAGCACAGAUCGUUCAUUACGACCCUUCGUGGAAAUUCAUAUUUGAAUUAAUAAUAGAAGCUAUAAUUAUUUUCUAAUAUUAAUCCAUCAGGUGUUUAUCUUUUCUCUGAUAUAAAGAUUAAUGUAAUAAUAUGAAUUAGCAGAAGAUAAAUAUAUAUUAUAUCAUCUAUUUCUAUAUCUAUGUAUGUAUAGGCCAAGUAUUAUCACUCUGCAAUAACUUGUAGAUCACCUCAUCUUUCACACUUAAGGAAAGAUGAGAAAAAUUACGGAUAUAUAUACUAAAGAGCAAAAACCUUAUUUCUGUAUCAAUGUAGCUUUUCAAGAGUCAAUAGCAGAGAUUGUUGAUUUCUUUUGUAUAAAAAAACAGUUGAGAAAUUUUAAAUUUUAGUAUGACAAAAGUAUUGUAAAACGCAAAAACAUGUUUUGAUCGACGUGGACCAUAUGAGAUCAUCAUCAAAUGCUUUACUUUGCGCGAUGCAUAUUAUGCAUGUUUUUCUUUGAGAAAGGUCAUGAUCCUUCUAAAAAAACAUACAUUCAAAAUAGACGUAGACUUUUCAUCUCGUUUCUAUUAUCUCUCUAUUUGAUCAUAUAUUUGACUCUCACACGAUUACGAUAGUUAAGUUUACGAUUGUACAAUUGUGUUGAAUAACAAGAGAAUUGUCAUCAUAAUAUAAAGAGGAAAACGUGUUUUUAUAAUGUAAAAAUAAAU